GAGUUUGAUCCUGGCUCAGAUUGAACGCUGGCGGUAUGCUUAACACAUGCAAGUCGAACGGUAACAGGCCUUCGGGCGCUGACGAGUGGCGGACGGGUGAGUAACGCGUAGGAAUCUGCCUCAUAGUGGGGGACAACGUGGGGAAACUCACGCUAAUACCGCAUACGCCCUACGGGGGAAAGGAGGGGAUCUUCGGACCUUUCGCUAUGAGAUGAGCCUGCGUUAGAUUAGCUAGUUGGUAGGGUAAAGGCCUACCAAGGCGACGAUCUAUAGCUGGUCUGAGAGGACGAUCAGCCACACUGGGAUUGAGACACGGCCCAGACUCCUACGGGAGGCAGCAGUGGGGAAUAUUGGACAAUGGGCGAAAGCCUGAUCCAGCAAUACCGCGUGUGUGAAGAAGGCCUUAGGGUUGUAAAGCACUUUCAAUUGGAAGGAAAAACUCAUGGCCAAUACCCAUGAGCUUGACAUUACCUUUAGAAGAAGCACCGGCUAACUCCGUGCCAGCAGCCGCGGUAAUACGGAGGGUGCGAGCGUUAAUCGGAAUUACUGGGCGUAAAGCGUGCGUAGGCGGCUCGUUAAGUCAGAUGUGAAAGCCCUGGGCUCAACCUGGGAACGGCAUUUGAAACUGGCGAGCUAGAGUUUGGGAGAGGAGAGUGGAAUUUCAGGUGUAGCGGUGAAAUGCGUAGAGAUCUGAAGGAACACCAGUGGCGAAGGCGACUCUCUGGCCUAAAACUGACGCUGAGGUACGAAAGCGUGGGUAGCAAACAGGAUUAGAUACCCUGGUAAUCCACGCCGUAAACGAUGUCAACUAGCCGUUGGCUCUCUUAGAGAGUUAGUGGCGCAGCUAACGCAUUAAGUUGACCGCCUGGGGAGUACGGCCGCAAGGUUAAAACUCAAAUGAAUUGACGGGGGCCCGCACAA
rnacentral:rRNA from 1 species